AAUUCAGGGAAAAUGCUUUGAAUGACAAGCAACUCUUGCCUGCAAAGGCCGGGUCUCAUGAUCUCUGCAACGCUGUGAUCAGGAUGUGGUGGGAGCUCCGUCUUGGGUGAUCCUCGUGAGGGCAUUUUUCAGCGAGCUUUGAAAUUCUUCAUUUUUUUUUUAGUUACUCCCUGGUGCUAGGGAAUCUACCUUUUAAGGAACUCGGGAGGAAGCACUGAAACAACACAAAACCCUAUCUCAAGAACUUGUUAACCUCCGGGGAGAGCUAGUCACUGCUUCAACCACCUGUGAGAAAUUAGAAAAAGCCAGGAAUGAGUUACAAACAGUGUAUGAAGCAUUCGUCCAGCAGCACCAGGCUGAAAAAACAGAACGAGAGAAUCGGCUUAAAGAGUUUUACACCAGGGAGUAUGAAAAGCUUCGGGACACUUACAUUGAAGAAGCAGAGAAGUACAAAAUGCAAUUGCAAGAGCAGUUUGACAACUUAAAUGCUGCGCAUGAAACCUCUAAGUUGGAAAUUGAAGCUAGCCACUCAGAGAAACUUGAAUUGCUAAAGAAGGCCUAUGAAGCCUCCCUUU
rnacentral:lncRNA from 1 species